AUGAACGCUGGCGGCGUGCCUAAUCCAUGCCAGUCGAGCGAACAGACGAGGAGCUUGCUCCUCUGACGUUAGCGGCGGACGGGUGAGUAACACGUGGAUAACCUACCUAUAAGACUGGGAUAACUUCGGGAAACCGGAGCUAAUACCGGAUAAUAUAUUGAACCGCAUGGUUCAAUAGUGAAAGACGGUUUUGCUGUCACUUAUAGAUGGAUCCGCGCCGCAUUAGCUAGUUGGUAAGGUAACGGCUUACCAAGGCAACGAUGCGUAGCCGACCUGAGAGGGUGAUCGGCCACACUGGAACUGAGACACGGUCCAGACUCCUACGGGAGGCAGCAGUAGGGAAUCUUCCGCAAUGGGCGAAAGCUUGACGGAGCAACGCCGCGUGAGUGAUGAAGGUCUUCGGAUCGUAAAACUCUGUUAUUAGGGAAGAACAAAUGUGUAAGUAACUAUGCACGUCUUGACGGUACCUAAUCAGAAAGCCACGGCUAACUACGUG
rnacentral:rRNA from 1 species